UACAGAGGUCUCAAGCGUUGUUCGGAUUCAUUGGGCGUAAAGGGUGCGUAGGUGGCGCUGUAAGUCAGGUGUGAAAUUUCGGAGCUCAACUUCGAAACUGCAUUUGAUACUGCGGUGCUUGAGGACUGGAGAGGAGACUGGAAUUUACGGUGUAGCAGUGAAAUGCGUAGAGAUCGUAAGGAAGACCAGUGGCGAAGGCGGGUCUCUGGACAGUUCCUGACAGCUGAGGCACGAAGGCCCAGGGGAGCAAAACGGG
rnacentral:rRNA from 1 species